GCCUUUGAUGACCUGAUGGUUACAGAACAGGUGAAUAUUGCUUGAUACUGUUGAUAUUUCUCAUGAACUAGGACGGUCUGAGGU